GGGAGGGCCCUCUCCCCGGAGCCCCCCCUCCUUCUCUUCUCCUUAUCUCUCUCCGGGCUGUUUCCUGCCCCAGGGGACAGAGAGCGGGAGGCAGGCCCUGUGCAUGACUGUGAUAGGGAGCGAGGUUCCUGGAGGCUCCAGGGCCGGGCGCCUGCUGGGGAGGCCCCACGGCCACUCUCUCUGCUGGCAUGGGGCACCGAGGCUGGGGUGUCCAGAUGUGCGGGCCCUGCCUGCACGCGGGGCUGGGGUGGUGGGGCCGGUCCAUGUCGCAGCACGCGAUUUCUGCCUGGCUCUGCGUCCUCGGGCUGUGGAGGGAGCAUCCCGGUGUCGGUGUCCCCCUGAGAGGUGCCCUUCUCGUAUUUGGGUCCCCGGUGCCAGCCCAGUUCUCAUCGACAGGAGAGAAGGCCGUGCGCAGACUCGGUGGAUGUUAGACAGCCUCGGAAGAGCCAAGAGUCCUCACCGUUCUGGACAGUGUCGCUGUUGGGGUGUGGCGUCCUGGCUCAGAGCUCCGCAUUCCUGUCCACCUGCGGCUGUCACCUUCACGAUGGUUCUGUGGGGCUGCGAGCUCCUGACCAUCUCAUCGCGUCUCCCAGAGCGGCUAGGCUGGAGCACUGAUGUGUCCAACAAGGUUUCAUUUCACACGAGGUUCUUCAUGCUUCUUUAUAUUACAGCUGGGGUGUGACAUACGGGGAUUUUAAAAAGUUAUGUGAGUAUAUAGGUUACAGCAUCCAUGGGCUACCUUUCAGAGUAUUAAGAAGGAUAUGACGUAUUUUUAACAUAAAAGGAAGGGGUCGGGGUGAGAGUGCUGGGACCUGGGGUUUCGAGCUCCAACGAAGUUGUAAAAAUUCGGACGUCGAUGUCAGGGGCUCAGGACACAUUUGACAGGUGAACGAAUGAAUGCCUGGGGACAUAUUGUUGAAGGGGCUCUUUGAUGCCUUCAUGUACCACCCACAGGUGACCUCUUGUCUGGGCCCGCGUGAGGUAUUCUGCCCCCAGUUCCAGAACCUUCUAAGUUCCAGAACCAGCUAAGCACGAGACCGCCUUGGUCCUGGUAGCCAGCUCCUGGCUGGGUCAGAAGCUGCUCAGGAGAACUUUGUCCCUCCCCACGGGGUCCCUGAGCAGAUCUGAAGGCCCAGCCCGAGCUGGACCAGGCCCGCGGUCCUGCCAUCAGGGACCCUGCAGCUUCCGGGAUGCGAGCGGGACUCCCGGCCAGUCGGAGGUGGGGGCCGGGCGGGGGGGCGGGUGGAGUGUGUUUCUGGGUGCCUGGCUCCUUCCUGCUGGGAAUAAAAAUCAUCACAUUUGCUUCAGACUUAUUUCCUUCCUCACACACUUUCUCUUUAUAGGGAGAAAUACUUGUCAAAAGAUCUCCAAACUGGGCGGGAGCAUGGACGCUUCUGCCCCUCUGUUCCUUCCUGCCCAGGGCGGGUAGCAUGGUCGACAGUCCAGCACGGCCCCUCCACAUCGGUGCUGGACACCCAGUCCACUCACUGAGCGUCUUCUUCUUUCCUUUGCUAACCCCACAUCACUCUAUUACUCUGUAAUUUGUUUUUAUGCUAAAUAACGUGUUUGGGACAAUUUUCCCGGGCUGCGCAUACACACCAGCUGCUGGUCAUUCUGGAGAUACCCCUCCAUCUAUUUGUCUUUAAGUUUUUCUGUUAAACUGUUUUUUCCCAUGGAAAGAAUACAUGCAUGUGGUUAAAAAAUAAUAAAAAGCAAAUGUCUCUAUUUUCCCAAA
ensembl:lncRNA